GGUAGCGUGGCCGAGCGGUUUAAGGCGCUGGUUUAAGGCACCAGGCUUUUCGGAGGCGUGGGUUCGAAUCCCACCGCUGCCA